AUUGAACGCUGGCGGCAGGCUUAACACAUGCAAGUCGAGCGGAGCAGCGGACGGGUGAGUAAUGCCUAGGUAUCUGCAAGGUCGUGGGGGAUAACGACAGGAAACGGGCGCUAACACACCAUCCUAUCAGAAGAGCCUAGGUCGGAUUAGCUAGUGGGUGGGGUAAAGGCCUACAAAGGCGACUAUCCGUAACUGGUCCGAGUGGAUGAUCAGUCACACUGGAGCUGAGACACGGUCCAGACUCCUACGGGAGGCAGCAGUGGGGAAGAUUGGACAAUGGGCGAAAUCCUGAUCCAGCCAUGCCGCGUGUGUGAAGAAGGUCUUCGGAUUGUAAAGCACUUUAAGUUGGGAGGCGUUACCAACAGAAUAAGCACCGGCUAACUUCGUGCCAGCAGCCGCGGUAAUUC
rnacentral:rRNA from 1 species